rnacentral:rRNA from 1 species
UUCCGGUUGAUCCCGCCGGACCCCACUGCUACCGAGAUGGGACUAAGGUAUGCUAGUCGAACGACCAGAACUAUGUCUGGAAGUGGCACACUGCUCAGUAACACGUAGCUAACCUACCCUUAGGACGUGGAUACCCCCGAGAAAUUGGGGUUAAUCCGCGAUAGAUGUAAUGUCCUGGAAUGGUAUUACGUCUAAAGGUAUUUCAUACAUGUUUGAAAUAUGCCUAAGGAUGGGGCUGCGGCCGAUCAGGCUGUUGGUGAGGUAAUGGCUCACCAAACCUUUGACCGGUACGGGCCAUGAGAGUGGUAGCCCGGAGAUGGACACUGAGACAAGGGUCCAGGCCCUAAGGGGCGCAGCAACCGCGAAACCUCCACAAUGCACUCACGUGCGAUGGGGCUAUCUCGAGUGCCACCUGAUGAAGGUGGCUUUUCCUUGGUCUUCAAAGCCUUGGGAAUAAGAGGGGGGCAAGACUGGUGUCAGCCGCCGCGGUAACACCAGCCCCUCGAGUGGUGGGGAUGAUUAUUUGGCCUAAAGCGUCCGUAGCCGGCCGAGCAAGUCUUCCGUUAAAUCCAGCGUCUCAAGCGUUGGACCGCGGGAGAUACUACACGGCUAGAGAGUGGGAGAGGUCAGCGGUAUUCUGGGGGUAGGGGCGAAAUCCUUUGAUCCCCGGAGGACCACCAGUGGCGAAGGCUGCUGACUAGAACACGUCUGACGGUCAGGGACGAAAGCUGGGGUAGCGAACCGGAUUAGAUACCCGGGUAGUCCCAGCCGUAAACGAUGCAUGCUAGGUGU